GGAUAUAUCAUGCUGAAACACCAGUUCCUGUAUGAUUGCUGAAGUUAAGCAACAUUGUGCCUGAUCAAUACCUAGAUGGGUGACCACUCGGAAAUACCAGGUGUUGUAAG